AGUGCAAAAUACAAGGAUGAGGUUAUCUCCCGUGAAGAUCACCAUUACCAGGGAAUUUCAAAAACAGAAACGACUGAUACAAAUGUUUAUGAAAAGAUCAAAGACUCUCAUAAAGCAGAAA